rnacentral:rRNA from 1 species
UACGUAGGGGGCAAGCGUUGUCCGGAAUCAUUGGGCGUAAAGCGCGUGUAGGCGGUCCGGUAAGUCGGCUGUGAAAGUCCAGGGCUCAACCCUGGGAUGCCGGUCGAUACUGCCGGACUAGAGUUCGGAAGAGGCGAGUGGAAUUCCCGGUGUAGCGGUGAAAUGCGCAGAUAUCGGGAGGAACACCAAUGGCGAAGGCAGCUCGCUGGGACGUUACUGACGCUGAGACGCGAAAGCGUGGGAGCGAACGAGG